UUAAAACAUAGGAAGGGAUAAAUACACCUCUCCUAUCCUCUCGUUCUGCACCUUACCCUCUAGUAGUCUAGUCUCCUCUUCCUCCAAAUUUCCGUACACAAUGUUAGUGAAAUCAACCAUGAUGGCCUAGGAAUUUGAAGGUAAAUCACCCUCUACUUUUCAGCCUUUCAUUUCAUAACUUUCAAAUUCCUAGGCCAUCAUGGGCGAUUUCACUAACGAGAAACUCGUCCCAAAGGUUGCAUCGCAGGGUAGUCUUAAAGAAAAUGGAAGCCAUGGAACCAACAAGAUGACCACCAAUUUUGAUGGCAUCCCAGUCAACUAUACAAAGCAGACGAUUGAUGGGGCUGACCACGAAACAUACACAUACAAUUCCACUGCGGUUGUGGCCCGUGGGUGAUGCUAACCACGACACAGUUGAGAAUUCAUCAUAUAAUGCCAACUGAAUUAGCGGUUGAGAAUUCAUCUGUUUUAUGCAUUCCUCUACUGCAUAAAUGAGUUAGCGAUUGUGAUCCUCUGCUUUCUCAAUUUGUUGUGAAUAACCUAUGUUCUGCGCAAUGUGUUGUGCAUUUUGGAAUAUUUUAUAAGAAAUUAUCUUAUAUAUAGACCAUUAAUAAUAUUUAUUAUGUGUUACUAUA